AGGCCGGGCGGCGCCCGGGGCCGGCCGUGAUUGAUGCGGGGCCGGAGCCGGAGCCGGAGCCAGGGCCCCUGCGGUGGGGGGCGGUGUGGGCGCGCGCACGGCCCUGCGUAGCGGCAUCCGCGGGGCAGUUUUUGGCUGCUGCUUCGCCCGCAAGAGCCAAAGCUUUGUUAGGUUUCUAACACCACCGAUCUCGGUGAAGUUUCCUCGGGAGCGGUGCCGGUGAUGUUAGCCUGCUGUCUGUGCUGCUGAAAUAAUGCAGCAGAAAUGAUAGCCGAGCCCAACGCAGCCACUCACCUUCCCGGCCGAAAAGAGAAUGCUGUUCAUGAUGAGACUGUGCCGGAGUCUGCUGUGCAGAAUGGCAGCUGUGUGAGAAAUGGCAACCUGAAAACACCAAGAGAGAAACGGAAGGUCCGAGAACAGUGUGAAAACAUAAGGAGGAAUUCUUCCAGUAGAAGAAGAGUGAGCCAGCUGCAGAAUGGCGAAGUGGUUGAGGCAGUUACGUUGUUUGAAGUGGUUAGCAUGGGGAAGCGGGCCAUGCAGUCUGUAGUCGAUGACUGGGUUGAAGCUUAUAAACAAGACAGGAACGUGGCACUUCUAGAUCUGAUCAACUUCUUCAUUCAGUGCUCAGGCUGCCAAGGCAUGGUAACAGCAGAGAUGUUUCAAAGUUUGCACAAGAAGGAUGUAAUGCAAAAAAUGACAGAGACCUUUGAUGAGGAAACUGGGUUGCAGUAUAAGAAAUUCAUGGCCUAUCCUUGGAUCCUGACAGUUACUUGGCCGGUGGACAUGGACAAUGAAGACUACCCACUGAUCAGAACAGGACCCUAUUGGAAGAAGUUCAAGGCCAAUUUCUGUGAAUUUAUUGCAGUGUUUGUCCAGCAGUGCCAGUGCAGCAUCCUGUAUGAUAGCUACUUGAUGGACACUGUCAUUUCACUGCUUACAGGCUUAGCGGACUCCAUGGUCAGAGCGUUUAGACACACAAGUACUCUGGCAGCAAUGAAGCUUCUGACAGCGGUUGUUAGUGUACAUCUGAACCUUGAUGUCAACAAGCACAAUGCUCAAAGGUUAUAUGAGGUGGAGAAGAAGAGGAUAAGUGGCAAGAGAACAAAUUACAGACUUGACCAGCUAGAGAAAAAAAGGAAAGAGUAUGAGCAUAAGCUUCUAGAGAUACAGAACAUGAUGAAUGCUAUUUUCAAAAGGACAUUUCUAAACCGUUACCGUGAUGUGAUCCCCGAGAUCCGAGCAACUUGUAUUGAAGAAAUUGGCAGCUGGAUUAAAACAUACCCAGAUGCUUUUCUAAAUGAUAGCUACUUAAAAUACAUGGGGUGGAUGCUGUAUGACAAGCAAGCUGAAGUGCGGUUGAAAUGUCUUCUGGGACUGCAGGGAAUUUAUAGCCAAAAAGAACUUGUUUCCAGGAUGGAUCUCUUUACUAGCAGAUUCAAGGAUCGAAUUGUGUCCAUGCCUCUGGACAAGGACCAUGAAGUAGCAGUUCAAGCCAUGAAACUCUUGAUGCUUAUGUCACAGAACUGUGAGGAUGUGUUAUCAGCUGAAGACUGUGAAAUGUUAUACCAGUUUGUUUAUACCACACACCGUCCGCUUGCAGUAGCAGCUGGGGAAUUCCUUUAUAAAAGGUUGCUUAGUCAUGAGGGAGAUGAAGAAGUUCAGCCCAAAGGAGGAGGGAAGUUUGGGGCAAGUACUGACCAGUUGAAAAGAUUAAUAGGUUUUUUCCUGGAGAGUGAGCUACACAAACAUGUUGCAUACCUCAUCGACAGCUUGUGGGACUGGGCAGGCAAAUUCCUGAAGGACUGGGAGUGCAUGACCACUCUUCUAUUAAAAAAUGCCGAAGAAGAUGGAGAAGCACUGAGUGAUGCCCAUGAAAGUGCUCUCAUUGAAAUUAUCCUCGCAACGGUUAGAGAAGCAGCUGAAGGUCAUCCUCCAGUGGGCAGAGGUGCAGCCAAAAAAAUUCUGUCAGUAAAAGAGAAGAAAAUACAAUUGGAAGAUUGUACCAAAAUUACGGAACACUUUAUUAUGGUGCUUCCUCAGCUCUUGGCAAAGUAUUCAACAGAUGCACAAAAAGUGGCAAAUCUUCUGCAGAUUCCUCAGUAUUACGAUUUAGAUGUUUACAGUACAGGACAUCUAACAAAGCAUCUGGAUGCUUUGCUGAGAGAGGUAAAAGACAUUGUGGCCAAACACUCCGACACAUCUGUCCUUGAGGCUUCCUCCAGGACUUAUUAUAUCCUCUGCAAUGAAGAAAUUGCCAUCUAUAGCCAGGUGGAUCGUGCCCGAACUCAGCUGAUAGAUGAGUUGAUGGGACAGCUUAACCAGCUACUAGAUGGCUUCUGGCAAAAGGAAGAAGGUUUUUGUAUGGAAGCAGGAGAAAUUUCCCAGAUGCACUCUGCUUUGAGAAGAGUAGCAGCUUUUCAUAAUGCCCAUGAUCUCACCAAGUGGAAUCUGUAUGACAAGACUUCAAGGUUGCUGGUGUUUGAAAUGGAACAUGGGAGAUUGCCUGUUCUGAUUAUCCUGCCAGCUCUCCAGUGCAUGUAUUUUUCUCUCCUGUGGCAACUAGCUGCAGUUCCGGAAAAUUCUCCCAAGGAGACUCUUUUUGCACUAAGAGGAGAGCUGAGAUGUUUCAGUCAGAUUUGCAUGUGCUUCCUCCACCAUAAGGAAAAAGAUGUAAGAGAAAAGGCUUUCAUGAUACUCUGUGACUGGUUGCUGAUUUUGAGUCAUCAGGAUUCAAAUAAUAACACAGAAGCAGUUGGACUUCCAGAUUAUCAUCUUAGCACAUCACUUCAGGAAAAACUGCUUUUGUUUAUCCAGGAACAUGUUUUCAUGGUGGAAGAAGAGGAAAGCAAAGACCUGACAGAAGAGAAGGAGAGAAAGGAUGAAAGUUGCAAACUUGAUGACCUGCACAAAAAGCGGAGCCUUCUUGCAGCAUAUUGCAAGUUAAUAGUGUAUAAUGUGGUAAAGAUGACUGCGGCUGCUGAGAUCUAUAAGUAUUAUGUGAAGACCUACAAUGAUUUUGGAGACAUAAUUAAAGAAACAUUAAGCAAGACAAGGCACAACAACAAAAUUCAGAGUGCCAAGACACUGAUUCUCUGUCUGCAGCAGCUGUUUCAGAAACAUGCAGAAAGCCAAGACAGCAGCAGCAGUGUGGACUUCUCUUCUGCUUCCUUCACAAACAUGAAAGAACUUGCUCGUCGCUUUUCACUAACGUUUGGCUGGGACCAAGUGAAAUCCAGAGAAUCUGUAGCCAUGAUACACAAGGAAGGGAUUGAAUUUGCUUUUCAAGGAGCUACUGGAGUAGAAGGAAAAUGCUUGCCUCCUAACUUGAGCUUUCUGUUAAUCAUCAGUGAAUUUUCCAACAAGCUGCUAAAGUCAGACAAAAGACUAGUGUAUGCCUACUUACAGAGGUACAUAGCAGAACCACUGCCUUGCAGAGGAGAUGAAUGGCAGCCACUGAUUUGGUACAGAAACUCUUUAUUGGCAAAUGAAGAUGAGGAGAGCUCUGUCCUUAGCAGUUCAGGAGAAUGGUCCCCUGCGGGCACAUCCAGGACAUCUUUUAAAAGGAAAUUCUCCAGUGGGUCUUUGCCUGAAACCAGCCAGACUGAAGCAACAAGCAAAGCUCCAGAGCUGCAGUGUGCUUCCCAGCUGGCCUCUGCAGCAGGCAAAAGCAGAAAGAGGCUGAAAUCUCAGGAGAUGCACUUGCAGGAACAUUUGCCAUUCCUUUGUCCAGGAGGGCUGCAGAGAAAAUACUGGUGAGAGUUUUAUGUCUUACAAGCUGCUUCACUUGUCCCUGGUAUUGACAGUUGGGGCCUCUGUCCACCUCUGUUUCUGCUUUUUGUAAUACUUCUAUGGGCAAAGGGUGUGUGCCCCUCCUGUCUGUUAUGGGCUGUGUUCCAAGGAUAGCUUGGGUUUUCUGUUUCCUCAGUCCAAUACCUACAUUUGCUGCUUUAGCCUCAUUGUCCGCCAUUGUCACAGGGCUUCCAAGCCUUCUUGGACUUAAUACCAAGUGUGUGGAGAAAAAGACAAGGAAGGAGGAAGGUUCCCUGUCCCAUUUCUCUUGUCUCUGGUCCUGAUUACAGGGCUGUGGUAGUUGUUAUCCAGCUGCAGCAAACAGCCAGGUUCUGAGGAGUGUUGUCUGCAUCUGUGGAAAUGAAAGAGGAUUCGUGUCUCUGCAGAUCUGCUCUUAACUACUAUGUAACUGGUGGCUUUCUUUUAGAGAGGUGCAUGUCUGUCCAGCAGGCGCACACAUCUGAGUGAAACCCCACAGAACUUGCAUGCAGGAGAGGUAGUGCAGAAAUAUGGAGGCUGGAGUCUGCUUUUGAGCUCUGCAAAUGAAGCACCGUGGGUGCUCAGCUGGGAUAUUUUCCUUUUAACACCGUUCAUUUAUUGAGGUCUUAGCUGCCAGUUCCCAUAUUGCAAAGAUGAGAUUAAGACAGAAGCUGUCUCCAAGGAGAGUCAAGCAGAAGACACAGCUGAAGAUGUCGAUGUUGAUGUGGUUGGUCCAGACCAGGACAGUUAAGACACCGAUAGGAUAAAUGGAAGUGAAGAACACGCUACCGAUUUUUUUUCUGCAAAUUGUUUAACUGAAAGUGGGGUUGUGGCGGCAUCAACCAAGGCAGCAGGAGACGUGUAUCAAGGCAGAUCUCUGCCUGUAGGCACCCACCCAGAACCAGUUACUAGCACUGCUUUCUCCACACUGCUGUGCGUGGGGGUUGCUGACUUGGCUGUUGUGCUUCUAAGGCUGUGGGCAUUAUGAACGUCGUUACUCAACUGUAUCCUGGUCCUUGAUUCCGCCUUGGAAAAAUUCCCAACCUAAGGACUGGAAUCAGAGUAUUGACAAAUACAGAGUCAAAACCUCUGAUGAGACAAGCUUGCUGACAUCGGCGCAGGGGCAGUGCCCUGCUGGAGGGAUUCUUUACCGUUUGAGAGGACCAAGAUGGGUGUCUGUCUACUUGUUUCCUUGUACCUGAUGCCAGGGAGGAAGGAGCCCGGCCCAGAUGUGAACGCUGUGACCUGCUGGGAGAUGCAGUGGCACUUGGCAGUGCCAUUUCCUGCCUGUAAAAUGGAAACCCUGGAACAAAUCAUCUGGAAGUAUUUCUACAUCCUAGUGCUUACAGAGACACAGUUAGAGGUCUGCAGGGAUGAGGAUGUGUUCCCAGGAGGCUUGCAUCACGGCUUCUAAGUAAGAAAGAAAGAAACAGCAGACCGGUUGACUUAGUAUUUUCCUCUGGAAGAAAUCCUUCAUGCAGUGAUCACAUGGUAUUUACUUGGAAAACAGAAAACCUGAAAAGACAAUGUAAAUAGACUGUAAAUACGGCCCUUCGAAAUAGGUUUUUUUCAGUUAAGAAUUUGCAAAUGAUCUUCACUCAGUAUUUCAGAGGCAGUAGGCUUGGGAGUCCUGGCUGCUUUCGCUGACCCUUUGGCACUGCUCCAUGGAAUUGUACGUUGCAUUAAUCCUAUCAUCAGCUUUCAUUUUUUAUAUAUAUAUAUAUAUAUUUUGGAUGAUAACACUGUAAAAUAAACUACAGAACUAUUGCUA